UUGAUUCUGGCUCAGGAUGAACGCUAGCGACAGGCUUAACACAUGCAAGUCGAGGGGCAGCACAGGUAGCAAUACCGGGUGGCGACCGGCGCACGGGUGAGUAACGCGUAUGCAACUUACCUAUCAGAGGGGGAUAACCCGGCGAAAGUCGGACUAAUACCGCAUGAAGCAGGGGCCCCGCAUGGGAUAUUUGCUAAAGAUUCAUCGCUGAUAGAUAGGCAUGCGUUCCAUUAGGCAGUUGGCGGGGUAACGGCCCACCAAACCGACGAUGGAUAGGGGUUCUGAGAGGAAGGUCCCCCACAUUGGUACUGAGACACGGACCAAACUCCUACGGGAGGCAGCAGUGAGGAAUAUUGGUCAAUGGGCGUAAGCCUGAACCAGCCAAGUCGCGUGAGGGAUGAAGGUUCUAUGGAUCGUAAACCUCUUUUAUAAGGGAAUAAAGUGCGGGACGUGUCCCGUUUUGUAUGUACCUUAUGAAUAAGGAUCGGCUAACUCCGUGCCAGCAGCCGCGGUAAUACGGAGGAUCCGAGCGUUAUCCGGAUUUAUUGGGUUUAAAGGGUGCGUAGGCGACCUUUUAAGUCAGCGGUGGAAGUCUGUGGCUCAACCAUAGAAUUGCCGUUGAAACUGGGGGGCUUGAGUAUGUUUGAGGCAGGCGGAAUGCGUGGUGUAGCGGUGAAAUGCUUAGAUAUCACGCAGAACCCCGAUUGCGAAGGCAGCCUGCCAAGCCAUGACUGACGCUGAUGCACGAAAGCGUGGGGAUCAAACAGGAUUAGAUACCCUGGUAGUCCACGCAGUAAACGAUGAUCACUAGCUGUUUGCGAUACAGUGUAAGCGGCACAGCGAAAGCGUUAAGUGAUCCACCUGGGGAGUACGCCGGCAACGGUGAAACUCAAAGGAAUUGACGGGGGCCCGCACAAGCGGAGGAACAUGUGGUUUAAUUCGAUGAUACGCGAGGAACCUUACCCGGGUUUGAACGCUUCGGACCGAGGUGGAAACACCUUUUCUAGCAAUAGCCGUUUGCGAGGUGCUGCAUGGUUGUCGUCAGCUCGUGCCGUGAGGUGUCGGCUUAAGUGCCAUAACGAGCGCAACCCUUGCCACUAGUUACUAACAGGUGAUGCUGAGGACUCUGGUGGGACUGCCAGCGUAAGCUGCGAGGAAGGCGGGGAUGACGUCAAAUCAGCACGGCCCUUACAUCCGGGGCGACACACGUGUUACAAUGGCGUGGACAAAGGGAAGCCACCUGGCGACAGGGAGCGAAUCCCCAAACCACGUCUCAGUUCGGACCGGAGUCUGCAACCCGACUCCGUGAAGCUGGAUUCGCUAGUAAUCGCGCAUCAGCCAUGGCGCGGUGAAUACGUUCCCGGGCCUUGUACACACCGCCCGUCAAGCCAUGGGAGCCGGGGGUACCUGAAGUCCGUAACCGAAAGGAUCGGCCUAGGGUAAAACUGGUGACUGGGGCUAAGUCGUAACAAGGU
rnacentral:rRNA from 1 species